GGGGCGCAGCAGGCGCGAAACCUCCGCAAUGUGAGAAAUCGCGACGGGGGGAUCCCAAGUGCCAUUCUUAACGGGAUGGCUUUUCUUAAGUGUAAGAAGCUUUUGGAAUAAGAGCUGGGCAAGACCGGUGCCAGCCGCCGCGGUAACACCGGCAGCUCUAGUGGUAGCUGUUUUUAUUGGGCCUAAAGCGUUCGUAGCCGGUUUGAUAAGUCACUGGUGAAAUCCUGUAGCUUAACUGUGGGAAUUGCUGGUGAUACUGUUGAACUUGAGGUCGGGAGAGGUUAGCGGUACUCCCAGGGUAGAGGUGAAAUUCUGUAAUCCUGGGAGGACCACCUGUGGCGAAGGCGGCUAACUGGAACGAACCUGACGGUGAGGGACGAAAGCUAGGGGCGCGAACCGGAUUAGAUACCCGGGUAGUCCUAGCCGUAAACGAUGCGGACUUGGUGUUGGGAUGGCUUUGAGCCGCUCCGGUGCCGAAGGGAAGCUGUUAAGUCCGCCGCCUGGGAAGUACGGUCGCAAGACUGAAACUUAA
rnacentral:rRNA from 1 species